GCCAGGCGUGGUGGCGCAUGCCUGUAAUCCCAGCCACUAGGGAGGCUGAGGCAGGAGAAUUGCUUGAGCCCAGGAGGCGGAGGUUGCAGUGAGCAGAGAUCAUGCCACUGCACUCCAGCCUGGGCGACAGAGCAAAGACUCUGUCUCAA
rnacentral:SRP_RNA from 1 species